AUAUUACAAUAAAUUGUAGGCGAAUUAACUAGCACUAGGUGAAAAAAUGAAAUUGGCACCGCCCUAAGGGCACCUGUUCUUAAGAACCGGUGGGGAAAAAAAGGGGGAAAAUAGGUGGGGAGAGUAUUGCCACCUAUUCAAAUUAAACCGGUGGGAAAAACAUUAAUCCUACCGGUUUUGAACCGGUAGCCUUGUUAAAAAAAAGUCAGCCUUUUUUUAUGUAAAGCCCACCCAUUUUCUUCCUUCCUAUAUAUAAGCCCCUUUUCCCAAACCCUAACCCUUUCAUCUUCUCUCUCCUCCCUCAUUCUCUCUUCACUCGUCUCCUCUGAUCUCACUCCUUCGAAAAUAAUUCCUCUGAUCUCUCCAAAUUUCGCUCCUCCACUCCUCUAAUCUCGCUCCUCCUUCAUUCUCUCUUCUCUCGUCCCCUCCUCCCUCCUCUUCACCUCUCUCGACCACCAACCGCCGCCGCCACCACUGAAUUUCGCCGCAACAACACCAAAUUUGAGGGGUUCAGGUACGUAUAUUGAUUUACAUGUUAAAUCGAAGAAUCAAGAUGCAAGAGUUGUAUGGGUUUUUGUUAUUUUGAUGUUGUAAUUUUUUUUUGAUUUAUAUUGUAUUUUUUUUUGGAUUUAUAUUGUAAUUUUUUUAUUUAUUUAUGUGUUGUAAUUGAUCUAUAUUGUAAUUUUUUUUAUUAUAUAUUGUAAAGUUUUCGAUUAAAUUGACUGAUAUUCGAGUUAUA